UACGUAGGGGGCUAGCGUUGUCCGGAUUUAUUGGGCGUAAAGAGCGUGUAGGCGGCCAGGUAGGUCUGCUGUGAAAACUCGAGGCUCAACCUCGAGACGUCGGCGGAAACCCUCUGGCUAGAGUCCGGAAGAGGAGAGUGGAAUUCCUGGUGUAGCGGUGAAAUGCGCAGAUAUCAGGAAGAACACCCGUGGCGAAGGCGGCUCUCUGGGACGGUACUGACGCUGAGACGCGAAAGCGUGGGGAGCAAACAGG
rnacentral:rRNA from 1 species